GCGGCGGCGCCACGGCAUAUUUAUAGGCCGCAAUCCGCCAACGGAUAGAUCCGAGAAAUGAGGUAACUCCCCCCAUAAAUGCGCCAUCUAACAGUCCUUUCCCCCUUCACAGGUGAGGCGCUCCGAAUUCCACGCCGACGCAGUGUCGCAACGUCUCCACCUAAAAAGCCGCGCCCAACGGGCAAAAAGGCGAACCGCCGCGACUCCUUCCUUCCCUUGUAAGCCAAGGGAUGUGCCCACGAGAGUCUCGAGAGGUCGAUGGCUGGCCCACCGAAAGGGUUCG
rnacentral:lncRNA from 1 species